rnacentral:tRNA from 1 species
GGCCCUAUCGUCUAGGCUGGUCUAGGACAGCGGCUUUUCAAGCCGUUAACUCGGGUUCGAAUCCCGAUAGGGCUA